GCUAAGCUGCUGUUACUGAAACGAGGGGCUGUUCCGACCGUAAGGUCAUCAAAACUGCAUGCUGUUUUAUCUUGCAGCCAUGCACUGCAAUGAGAAUGCUGAGUCCCCACAACAGAAGACAGCCAAGGAGAAACUAUGUACAGACUUGCCAAACAAUUUAUCAUCAAAGACCCUCUUCCUGAUUGGGAUGCCGUCCAGCGGAUUCCUGUGU